CAAGGUCAAUAUCAGAAUAUCAAGAGAGACUUUAAGCACUAAACAUGUAUCAAUGCAGAAACAAUGAGAGGGCCUUGAAUAAGGGCCCAAUUUAGCAUUAUAUAGGCUAACACAUGUUCUAAUUGAUCAAUGUCAUCUCUGCGACUACAAACUGAAUGAAUAUGUGGUUGCCUAGAGCAUGUUGUCACUUUAAGGGUGGGUAUGGCAUCACAGCGGGCAGCAUCUGAG